GCGCUCUACUUGUCUUCCUGCCCGCCUGGUAUUCCCUCCAGGAAUGGAGAAGCUACAGGCCCAGCUGAACAAGGAGCUCCAGGUAUGGACAUCAAAGCACCAGGAAGACAAGCAGGGAAGAGGAGACGGGUGCCAGGGUACUGUGCUCAGAUUCACUGUGGACGCUACUUCCUGCUGCUUGUCAGGAGAGCAUUCUGCAGGGCACAUCCUAGACUAACGUGGAGAAAUGUAGUACCGUGGCUUUCCCACGCCAGGAGAAGAGUAUAUGGUUGAAGAGAGGAGUCUUAGAGGGGUGGCCAAUAGAGAUGUGAUGUCAUCCUGGAGGCCAUGGGUCCAGACUAGUAUGAGGGAAUCCAAGGCAGGGCUGGGGUUAAUUAGGAACCAAUGUGGGACAAU
rnacentral:lncRNA from 1 species